CGCGACCCCAGGUCAGGCGGGACUACCCGCUGAGUUUAAGCAUAUCAUA
rnacentral:rRNA from 1 species